GACUAAGAAGGCUCAGCAAGAACUGGAAGAACAGACCCGUAGGGCUCUGGAACUUGAGCAGGAACGGAAGCGUGCCCAGAGCGAGGCUGAAAAGCUGGCCAAGGAGCGUCAAGAAGCUGAAGAGGCCAAGGAGGCCUUGCUGCAGGCCUCCCGGGACCAGAAAAAGACUCAGGAACAGCUGGCCUUGGAAAUGGCAGAGCUGACAGCUCGAAUCUCCCAGCUGGAGAUGGCCCGACAGAAGAAGGAGAGUGAGGCUGUGGAGUGGCAGCAGAAGGCCCAGAUGGUACAGGAAGACUUGGAGAAGACCCGUGCUGAGCUGAAGACUGCCAUGAGUACACCUCAUGUGGCAGAGCCUGCUGAGAAUGAGCAGGAUGAGCAGGAUGAGAAUGGGGCAGAGGCUAGUGCUGACCUACGGGCUGAUGCUAUGGCCAAGGACCGCAGUGAGGAGGAACGUACCACUGAGGCAGAGAAGAAUGAGCGUGUGCAGAAGCACCUGAAGGCCCUCACUUCGGAGCUGGCCAAUGCCAGAGAUGAGUCCAAGAAGACUGCCAAUGACAUGAUCCAUGCUGAGAACAUGCGACUGGGCCGAGACAAAUACAAGACCCUGCGCCAGAUCCGGCAGGGCAACACCAAGCAGCGCAUUGACGAAUUUGAGUCUAUGUAAUGGGCACCCAGCCUCUAGGGACCCCUCCUCCCUUUUUCCUUGUCCCCACACUCCUACACCUAACUCACCUAACUCAUACUGUGCUGGAGCCACCUCCUUCUCUGUCUCAUGUGUGCUCUUCUUCUUUCUACAGUAUUAUGUACUCUACUGAUAUCUAAAUAUUGAUUUCUGCCUUCCUUGCUAAUGCACCAUUAGAAGAUAUUAGUCUUGGGGCAGGAUGAUUUUGGCCUCAUUACUUUACCACCCCCACACC
rnacentral:lncRNA from 1 species